rnacentral:tRNA from 1 species
UGGGAGGUGCGCCGAAUGGUAAGGCAUCCGGCUGUUAACCGGACGAGGGCGACCUCAUUGGCGGUUCGAAUCCGCCCCUCCCAGCCA